UGGCAAUGCGGCUCCCAACAGCGGUGGUACUGUUUCUGGGUGCAGCCCCUGCUCUCUUCUUCAGCCAGCAGUCCUUAAAUGAGUCUUUCAGUGACACCAGAGCAGUUGAACCAUGUGAGUGUACAUUAUAUGCUAUAUCACAUCAAACUUUAUUUGUCACAUGCGCUGAAUACAAGUGUAGACCUUACCGUGAAAUGCUUACUUACAAGCCCUUAACCAACAGUGCAGUUCAAGAAGAGUUAAGAAAAUAUUUACCAAAUAAACAAAGUAAAAAAUAAUACAAAGUAACACAAUAACGAGGCUAUAUACAGGGGGUACCGGUACCGAGUCAGUGUGUGGGGGUACAGGUUAGAGGUCAUUUGAGAUGUAUCCUUCAUGGUUUAGUGUAAGUCAAUCUAAUAUUGGACUAUUGAGCGUGGACAAAGCCAUUUCUGUCACUUUUGUGGUAGUUUAGGAUUUUAGUGAUUGACUUGUUAUCCAAAUGAACCACAUUUGCCCCUAUUCCACAGCUCACUGCUCACAGGGAUUCGUGGUUGACAAAGCCUUUCCUUGGAACGACAUUCUGAUGGUGUAUGAACGGGACCUAUAUCAUUGCCAGCUUGCCUGCACUCAGAACCCCGGGUGUUCCUACUUCAGCUACGUGGUUCAAGAGUAUAAUCUAUUUGAGUAUUUGGGUUGUCUGUUUGGGUGGUGGUCAAACCACUUGUUUUGUUAAAUAGUUAAUGGGUGGGGCUAGAGAAAUGUCACUGCUGUCAAAUGCAGAGCUAUGGAUUCAAGGACUGACUAUUCACGAGAUCAAAAUUAUAUACAGUAUUUGUUCACAAUUACAUUGUUUACAAAACAUGAUUGUAGAACAGAGGCAUGACAGAAGAAUUCCAUCAGUAUGACUUUUACUUUCAAACCAGAUUCCGAUGCUAUCAAAAGUACUCAGAUGAUCAACCAACUACAAAAGACAAUCCAGCAGUCAUAUCUGGUUACACAAGGAAUGGGUGCAGGGAAGGCCCACCAGUAGAGAUACCAGUGUUUACUUUGGUUAGCGAGGGGAGGAGCAUGGAUGAAGCCCAGAAGUUCUGCAGGGAGUACUAUGAGGAACUGGCCACCAUCUUCAAUGCUGAGGACCAGACAGCAGCUCUGAGAGCAGUGUCAGCACAGAGCCUCACUGACGCAGUCUGGGUCCACUCCCAAUACCAUGCCUUUUGGCCCCAACUGGCCUAUUGGAAUACACCAAAUGCAAAGUGUGUUGUUCAUGGACAUAAAGCAAAAGUUUGGAUUUUGAGAUAUUGCACAAUUUCAUGUCACUUUGUGUGCCAGAAAAGUAAGUUGAUUUUGCAUCCCUUCUCUCCCUUGUCUGAUAUUUGUAAACUACUACAUCAAAGUAACGUUAAUACUUUACUUGAAGGGGGUUAUUCAUUCUUAACACCUUGGUACAGUACAUAG
rnacentral:lncRNA from 1 species